UGGGGAAUAUUGCACAAUGGGCGCAAGCCUGAUGCAGCCAUGCCGCGUGUGUGAAGAAGGCCUUGGUUGUAAAGCACUUUCAGCGGGGAGGAAGGCGUUAAGGUUAAUAACCUUGGCGAUUGACGUUACCCGCAGAAGAAGCACCGGCUGACUCCGUGUCAG
rnacentral:rRNA from 1 species